rnacentral:rRNA from 1 species
CCUACGGGAGGCAGCAGUGAGGAAUAUUGGGCAAUGGACGAGAGUCUGAACCAGCCAAGUAGCGUGAAGGAUGAAUGCACUAUGGGGUGUAAACUUCUGUUAUAGGGGAAUAAAAUGUGCCAAGUGUGGGAUUUUGUAUGUAACAUAUGAAUAAGGAUCGGCUAACGCCGAGCCAGCAGCCGCGGUAAUACGGAGGAUCCGAUCGUUAUCCGGAUUUAUUGGGUUUAAAGGGAGCGUAGGUGGAUUGGUAAGUCAGUUGUGAAAGUUUGCGGCUCCACCGUAAAAUUGCCUUUGAAACUGGCAGUCUUUAGUACAGUAGAGGUGGGCGGAAUUCCUGGUGUCGCUGU